AUUGAACGCUGGCGGCAGGCCUAACACAUGCAAGUCGAGCGGUAGCACAGAGAGCUUGCUCUCGGGUGACGAGCGGCGGACGGGUGAGUAAUGUCUGGGAAACUGCCUGAUGGAGGGGGAUAACUACUGGAAACGGUAGCUAAUACCGCAUAACGUCGCAAGACCAAAGUGGGGGACCUUCGGGCCUCAUGCCAUCAGAUGUGCCCAGAUGGGAUUAGCUGGUGGGUGGGGUAACGGCUCACCUAGGCGACGAUCCCUAGCUGGUCUGAGAGGAUGACCAGCCACACUGGAACUGAGACACGGUCCAGACUCCUACGGGAGGCAGCAGUGGAGAAUAUUGCACAAUGGGCGCAAGCCUGAUGCAGCCAUGCCGCGUGUGUGAAGAAGGCCUUCGGGUUGUAAAGCACUUUCAGCGGGGAGGAAGGCGGUGAGGUUAAUAACCUCAUCGAUUGACGUUACCCGCAGAAGAAGCACCGGCUAACUCCGUGCCAGCAGCCGCAGUAACAC
rnacentral:rRNA from 1 species